UACGAAGGGGGCUAGCGUUGCUCGGAAUCACUGGGCGUAAAGCGCACGUAGGCGGCUUACUAAGUCAGGGGUGAAAUCCUGGAGCUCAACUCCAGAACUGCCUUUGAUACUGGUGAGCUUGAGUCCGGAAGAGGUGAGUGGAACUGCGAGUGUAGAGGUGAAAUUCGUAGAUAUUCGCAAGAACACCAGUGGCGAAGGCGGCUCACUGGCUCGGUACUGACGCUGAGGUGCGAAAGCGUGGGGAGCAAACAGG
rnacentral:rRNA from 1 species